rnacentral:rRNA from 1 species
AAGAUGAGCCCGCAUUUGAUUAGUUAGUUGGUGAGGUAAUGGCUCACCAAGACAAUGAUCAAUAGCUGAUCUGAGAGGAUGAUCAGCCACACUGGGACUGAGACACGGCCCAGACUCCUACGGGAGGCAGCAGUAGGGAAUAUUGGGCAAUGGGCGCAAGCCUGACCCAGCGACGCCGCGUGAGGGAUGAAGGUCUUCGGAUUGUAAACCUCUUUCAGUAGGGAAGAAGCGAAAGUGACGGUACCUAAAGAAGAAGCACCGGCUAACUAUGUGCCAGCAGCCGCGGUAAUACAUAGGGUGCAAGCGUUGUCCGGAAUUAUUGGGCGUAAAGAGCUCGUAGGUCGUUUGUCGCGUCGAUUGUGAAAAUCUGAGGCUCAACCUCAGACCUGCAGUCGAUACGGGCAAACUAGAGUGUGGUAGGGGAGACUGGAAUUCCUGGUGUAGCGGUGGAAUGCGCAGAUAUCAGGAGGAACACCAAUGGCGAAGGCAGGUCUCUGGGCCAUAACUGACACUGAGGAGCGAAAGCGCGGGGAGCGAACAGGAUUAGAUACCCUGGUAGUCCGCGCCGUAAACGAUGGGCACUAGCUGUGAGAACCUUCCACGGUUUUCGCGACGCAGCAAACGCAUUAAGUGCCCCGCCUGGGGAGUACGAUCGCAAGAUUAAAACUCAAAGGAAUUGACGGGGCCCCGCACAAGCAGCGGAGCAUGCGGCUUAAUUCGACGCAACGCGAAGAACCUUACCAAGGCUUGACAUAUAGCGAAAAGUGGCAGAGAUGUCAUGUCCGCAAGGGCGCUAUACAGGUGGUGCAUGGUUGUCGUCAGCUCGUGUCGUGAGAUGUUGGGUUAAGUCCCGCAACGAGCGCAACCCUCGUUCUGUGUUACCAGCAUUUAGUUGGGGACUCACAGGAGACUGCCGGGGUCAACUCGGAGGAAGGUGGGGAUGACGUCAAAUCAUCAUGCCCCUUAUGUCUUGGGCUGCACGCAUGCUACAAUGGCCGGUACAAAGUGCUGCGAGAUCGUAAGAUUGAGCGAAUCACAUAAAGCCGGUCUCAGUUCGGAUUGAGGUCUGCAACUCGACCUCAUGAAGUCGGAGUUGCUAGUAAUCGUAGAUCAGCAACGCUACGGUGAAUACGUUCCCGGGGCUUGUACACACCGCCCGUCACGUCACGAAAGUCGGUAACACCCAAAGUUAGUGGCCCAACC